rnacentral:lncRNA from 1 species
CCUACUCAUACAUGACUAUGCUUAUCGCUUAUUAAAUGAAAUCAAUAAAGAUCAAACAACACUAAUAAUUAACGAUUAAAUACAUGGUUAAACCGGAUAUAAUAACAUAUUUUCUAUUAAAAAAAACUAACAACUGAAAUCGAUUUGCAGGGUUUAACGUCCAGACCCAUUCGCCUGGGCCCAUACUUGCUCAAAUGAGUUGUCGGACAUCAAUGUAAGUCUGGCUCACUUCAUGCCUAAUCAUUAUACCAUGAUACUGAUUUAUCACAAAAUAAAGAAGACAAAAGUGUCCAACUGUGGUGACCCUAUACUAAUUAAACAAAAGAAAGAACUGAACUUAAAAGAAUCAUUAUAACAAUCCGUUUGUCCUGCUGAAAGUCCAUAAGUUUACAAAAUAACUGAUAAGCUAUUUUUCAAACAUUUCGUGAUACUAGUGCUUACAAGACAAAUUUUAAAAGUCAUCAAAAGAGAUUUUUUUUUUCUCCUAAGUUCAGGUAUUCUUCUGCUACAAGGUCCUUCAAUAUGGUGCAAACUUGCAAGGAAUCAGCUAUGGAGCUGUUCCUCACAAGUUGAUACUUCGUGCUUCAGACUUGAUUACUUCACUUUGUGGCCACUCACAUACAAAACUAAGGCAACCAUACAGUUAUCAGUAUGUAUAGACAUCCAUAGAUUAGUAUAAAUUUGACUUAAACUAACAAAAAAACAAUUAGAAAGUAUAUGAAAAAGGUUAAUUCAACAAUUAGGUGGGUCUUGUUCAAAUCAUUAUGUAUUUUUUCACAUAAAAAAGCUUGGUUAAGUAAAAUGCUCAAACAUGAUAGUGAGGUAAUAGGUUAAUAUAUUUGAAGGAAUGAUAAUCAUAAGGAAUGAAUAAGAUGGGGUCAGUAAGAGACACUUAGCGAGCAAAAGCUUUUUAUUCAAACAUCAUACCACAUAUUAUAGAAGCCAAAUGGACCUAAAUCAAGCAUGGGAGUCCCAAAAUGUGUACCUUUAUCAACAAAAUAAACGAUAAACGCAAAAUCUCUCUGAACAAAACUGGACUUUAACAGCAGAAUCAGCAACAACAACACCAAAAUGGCCCAGAGAUUCAAAUCAAAACCCAAAACCAGCUUGAAAUCCAAAAGAUUUAGCUAAAAGGACUAAGAAAAUUUUCUAUUUCAAACCAUGUUUCAAUCUUAUGAGGAAUCAGAAAUGAAAAGUUUUUUUUUGAAGUUUUUCUCAAAAUUUCUCGGAUGUGAACCUCUUCUAGAAGAAAAUAGAGCCUUUUGCAGUAAACUUAGAAUGAGAAUAUGUAGAGAACUUUAGGUCUUUUUUAG